UACGUAGGGGGCGAGCGUUGUCCGGAUUUAUUGGGCGUAAAGACCUCGUAGGCGGUUUGGUAAGUCAGCGGUGAAAUUUCGGAGCCCAACUCCGAACGGUCCGUUGAGACUGCCAUGACUUGAGUCCGGUAGGGGAGUGCGGAACUCCUGGUGUAGCGGUGAAAUGCGCAGAUAUCAGGAAGAACACCGGUGGCGAAGGCGGCACUCUGGGCCGGUACUGACGCUGAGGAGGGAAAGCUAGGGGAGCAAACAGG
rnacentral:rRNA from 1 species